CUGGAUCCAAAAUGUUCUUUGGGCAUGAGAUUCUCAAUGUGGAAUUUACCAGUGAAGCUAACUCUGACAGUGGAAAUAUUCAUGAGCACACACUUGAAGAC